GCGACGUGGCUAUAUAUAGUUCCAGUAAACCGGAACCCAUGUUUAAAAAACCUAGAGCUUCGGUAAUCGGUUAUAAUAGGGUAUUAAUUCCAUAUACAAACCAUACCCCUAAACCCUGCAAGAGCUCAAAUUAUAUUAGACUAAGAAUCAAACUACACUUGUUAACUUUCAGCACUUCAUGGGUAAUGCCCCUAACCUAGUAUGCCAAUGACAGGCUUGCUGAAUGCAACCUCAAACAAUACACUUUAUAUUACAAAAACAAAAAUACCCACACUAGGCUUGUAAAAUGGGUCCUUCCAGAAAAGAUCCAUACUCUCCCAACAGGAAAUUUCUGCCAUCAGGAGGGGGAGGGGAGAAAAAAUUGUUUCUGAUAAUAGUAAAUGUAUUAGGACAUCCGAAGGGGGUAGGCGGGUGAGGUCAACUUCAUAUUUCCUCUGUGGGGGUGGUAUGGGUGUUUUCUGGAAUGACCCCCAAUAAAUUGAUCUUGAUUACCGGAGCUCACGCAGUUCGCAAAGUAAAUGCAUGACAACUUUAAUCUUUAAUAAAAUGUCAUGGAAUCUAUUAUUUUAUGUGCAGGGGCCGGUUGUUCAAAGGUGGGUUAGCGCUAAUCCUGGGUUAAAAUUUAACCCAUUUAAAUGUAUUUCUGCACGUCC